CUCUCUCUCUUUCUCUCUCUCUCUCUCUCUCUCUCUCUCUCAAUGGAACAUAAUGAGUUAAGAAGAGAGCUACUUUAAAAUGUUCUACCAUACAUAAAAUACUAACAUAAAAAGGUAUUACAGAGAGAGAGAGAGAGAGAGAGAGAGAGAGAGAGAGAG
rnacentral:miRNA from 1 species